rnacentral:rRNA from 1 species
AGCUACAGGCUUAACACAUGCAAGUCGAGGGGAAACGACAUCGAAAGCUUGCUUUUGAUGGGCGUCGACCGGCGCACGGGUGAGUAACGCGUAUCCAACCUGCCCACCACUUGGGGAUAACCUUGCGAAAGUAAGACUAAUACCCAAUGACGUCUCUAGAAGACAUCUGAAAGAGAUUAAAGAUUUAUCGGUGAUGGAUGGGGAUGCGUCUGAUUAGCUUGUUGGCGGGGUAACGGCCCACCAAGGCGACGAUCAGUAGGGGUUCUGAGAGGAAGGUCCCCCACAUUGGAACUGAGACACGGUCCAAACUCCUACGGGAGGCAGCAGUGAGGAAUAUUGGUCAAUGGACGAGAGUCUGAACCAGCCAAGUAGCGUGCAGGAUGACGGCCCUAUGGGUUGUAAACUGCUUUUAUAAGGGAAUAAAGUGAGUCUCGUGAGACUUUUUGCAUGUACCUUAUGAAUAAGGACCGGCUAAUUCCGUGCCAGCAGCCGCGGUAAUACGGAAGGUCCGGGCGUUAUCCGGAUUUAUUGGGUUUAAAGGGAGCGUAGGCCGGAGAUUAAGCGUGUUGUGAAAUGUAGACGCUCAACGUCUGCACUGCAGCGCGAACUGGUUUCCUUGAGUACGCACAAAGUGGGCGGAAUUCGUGGUGUAGCGGUGAAAUGCUUAGAUAUCACGAAGAACUCCGAUUGCGAAGGCAGCUCACUGGAGCGCAACUGACGCUGAAGCUCGAAAGUGCGGGUAUCGAACAGGAUUAGAUACCCUGGUAGUCCGCACGGUAAACGAUGGAUGCCCGCUGUUGGUCUGAAUAGGUCAGCGGCCAAGCGA